UACGUAGGUGGCAAGCGUUAUCCGGAAUUAUUGGGCGUAAAGCGCGCGCAGGCGGUUUCUUAAGUCUGAUGUGAAAGCCCACGGCCCAACCGUGGAGGGUCAUUGGAAACUGGGGAACUUGAGUGCAGAAGAGAAAAGCGGAAUUCCACGUGUAGCGGUGAAAUGCGUAGAGAUGUGGAGGAACACCAGUGGCGAAGGCGGCUUUUUGGUCUGUAACUGACGCUGAGGCGCGAAAGCGUGGGGAGCAAACAGG
rnacentral:rRNA from 1 species